GAUGAACGCUGGCGGCGUGCCUAAUACAUGCAAGUCGAGCGAACGGACGAGAAGCUUGCUCCUCUGAUGUUAGCGGCGGACGGGUGAGUAACACGUGGAUAACCUACCUAUAAGACUGGGAUAACUUCGGGAAACCGGAGCUAAUACCGGAUAAUAUUUUGAACCGCAUGGUUCAAAAGUGAAAGACAGUCUUGCUGUCACUUAUAGAUGGAUCCGCGCUGCAUUAGCUAGUUGGUAAGGUAACGGCUUACCAAGGCAACGAUGCAUAGCCGACCUGAGAGGGUGAUCGGCCACACUGGAACUGAGACACGGUCCAGACUCCUACGGGAGGCAGCAGUAGGGAAUCUUCCGCAAUGGGCGAAAGCCUGACGGAGCAACGCCGCGUGAGUGAUGAAGGUCUUCGGAUCGUAAAACUCUGUUAUUAGGGAAGAACAUAUGUGUAAGUAACUGUGCACGUCUUGACGGUACCUAAUCAGAAAGCCACGGCUAACUACGUG
rnacentral:rRNA from 1 species